rnacentral:rRNA from 1 species
UACGAAGGGGGCUAGCGUUGUUCGGAAUUACUGGGCGUAAAGCGUGCGCAGGCGGCUUCUCAAGUCAGGGGUGAAAGCCCAGAGCUCAACUCUGGAAUUGCCUUUGAGACUGAGUGGCUUGAGUACGGGAGAGGUGAGUGGAAUUCCCAGUGUAGAGGUGAAAUUCGUAGAUAUUGGGAAGAACACCGGUGGCGAAGGCGGCUCACUGGCCCGUAACUGACGCUCAUGCACGACAGCGUGGGGAUCAAACAGGAUUAGAUACCCUGGUAGUCCACGCCGUAAACUAUGAACGCUAGCUGUUGGCAGGCUUGCCUGUCAGUAGCGCAGCUAACGCAUUAAGCGUUCCGCCUGGGGAGUACGGCCGCAAGGUUGAA